GACAGAGGGGGCAAGCGUUGCUCGGAAUUACUGGGCGUAAAGGGCGCGUAGGCGGGAUGGCAAGUCGGUCGUGAAAUCCCCGGGCUCAACCUGGGAAUGGCGAUGGAUACUGGGCAGCUAGAGUGUGUCAGAGGAUGGUGGAAUUCCCGGUGUAGCGGUGAAAUGCGUAGAGAUCGGGAGGAACAUCAGUGGCGAAGGCGGCCAUCUGGGACAACACUGACGCUGAAGCACGAAAGCGUGGGGAGCAAACAGG
rnacentral:rRNA from 1 species